rnacentral:rRNA from 1 species
UACGAAGGUGGCAAGCGUUACUCGGAAUUACUAGGCGUAAAGGGCAGGUAGGUGGUUUGGUAAGUCUAUUGUGAAAGCUCCCGGCUUAACUGGGAGAGGCCAAUAGAUACUGCCGGACUUGAGUGUAGGAGAGGGUACUGGAAUUCCCGGUGUAGCGGUGAAAUGCGCAGAGAUCGGGAGGAACACCAAUGGCGAAAGCAGGUACCUGGACUAUUACUGACGCUAAGCUGCGAAAGCGUGGGGAGCAAACAGG